GACGAACGCUGGCGGCGUGCUUAGCACAUGCAAGUCGAACGGAAAGGCCCUGCUUUUGUGGGGUGCUCGAGUGGCGAACGGGUGAGUAACACGUGAGUAACCUGCCCUCGACUUUGGGAUAACUUCAGGAAACUGGGGCUAAUACCGGAUAGGAGCUCCUGCUGCAUGGUGGGGGUUGGAAAGUUUCGGCGGUUGGGGAUGGACUCGCGGCUUAUCAGCUUGUUGGUGGGGUAGUGGCUUACCAAGGCUUUGACGGGUAGCCGGCCUGAGAGGGUGACCGGCCACAUUGGGACUGAGAUACGGCCCAGACUCCUACGGGAGGCAGCAGUGGGGAAUAUUGCACAAUGGGCGGAAGCCUGAUGCAGCAACGCCGCGUGCGGGAUGACGGCCUUCGGGUUGUAAACCGCUUUCGCCUGUGACGAAGCGUGAGUGACGGUAAUGGGUAAAGAAGCACCGGCUAACUACGUG
rnacentral:rRNA from 1 species